GGCGCUGUGGCACAGUGGGUUAAUGCCCUGGCCUGAAGAGCCAGCAUUUCAUAUGGGCGCCGGUUCUAGUCCCAGCUGCUCCA
rnacentral:tRNA from 1 species